GUUGGCCUUCAUUUUUAUUUUAUCAAAAACAUUGAGAACCCUAGACGUUUCUCUCAAAGAAAAAUCCUUCCAGCAACCAUGAUAUCAUCUCGAGCUUUGAAUCAUUCUAUUCAAUCUGUAUCCAUUUUCUUCGAUCUGUAGCAUAUUAAACGAUCGAGAUUAUUUUAUUCUCCUUCUCUUGCAUACAGCUUGCUUCACUCACAAUGUCGAUCUGGUUUCUGUAAUGUUCUAUUCUCUUUUUAUGGUUUUGUUAUGCAUUACAUUAGCACUAAGAAGAUGAAGACUUCGGAUAAUUUUACAUGUUAAGAACCCUAGCUACUACUGAUUAGAUUGUUGGUCAGUUUUCAGAAAUUGUUAGGGUUUUUACUUCGAUUCUUCAGAUUCCGGUCACAAGGUUCAUUUCAAUUUGGAUUUCUAGGGUUUCUACUCCGAUUCUUAAAUUUUUAUUUUUUAGUGACAACAUCCGUCUCAAUUUUAGUCGUUAGGGUAUGUACUUCAAUUCUUCAAAUUGGGUAUCAGUCAGUUUCCGGAAAUUGGGAAGGUUUAAUGUUUUUGUUUGCAGGAUCGAUUCGAACGCAUGUGCUAGGUAGUUCGUCGAUUAUUAGUUGGGUGAUUACUGAGCUAGAUGGCCGAACUUCCUCUGUGCUUGUUCUGUCUUCUCCUCGGGCUCAGUUCAACAUCACUGGUCUUGGUGGCCCCUUCCUCAAAAUAGUGCAACAUCAAAGUGGUUUACAACAAGUAAGGGAUUGCACGCUGCUGGACUAAGUGGAAUAAUGGCUGUCAACCAAUAUAUUGUUGUUGCCUGGGAGGACAAUGGCUUCAGGUAGCUGCUGAGACAAGUAUAACAUGCUGGUGUCCUACCAUCACUGAAUCCUCCUUGUUGGACAGGGUUUGUGCCUUAGGAAGUAUAUUUAUUAAUGCUUGAGAAGAAGUUUGUUCAUCCUCAACUACAUAAGUCUUCUCUAAAGAUAGCUGCAAUUCAAAUGCAUCCAGCAGAAAGCAGAGACGAAUCAAGAUUUCAACAAGUUAAACUGAAGAUGUGCGACUCCCAGGUAUAUAUGCAUCCUGAAAAAAUGCACAUUGUUUCUGAUAAGUAGAGCCAUUCUGAGGUUUUGCUAGGAUUAAAUUCACUCCACCCAAUCUUCUUGCAUAACUCAUUAAGUAGUUUACAUACAAUUGAAUUUGUAUUUGAUCUGUAGAUAUUAUGAUUUUAAUAUAUGCCACAUAUGCGAAUGUGUCAGGUAUUGGUUUCUGU